AUGAAGAAAGUCCAUGCGGAUGGAUUUUUGGAAUCACUUGAUUAUGAAUCAUUUGAUGCUUGCGAACCAUGCCUCAUGGGCAAGAUGAUUAAGACUCCGUUCUCUGGAACAAUGGAGCGAGCCAAUGACUUAUUGGAAAUAAUACAUGGCGAUGUAUGCGGUCCGAUGAGUGUUGAGGCUCACAGCGGGUCUCGUUAUUUUCUAACCUUCACAGAUGAUUUGAGCAGAUAUGGGUAUAUCUACUUAAUGAAACACAAGUCUGAAAUAGUUGAAAAGUUCAAAGAAUUUCAAAGUGAAGUUGAGAAUCAUCAUAACAAGAAAAUAAAGUUUUUAUGA
rnacentral:rRNA from 1 species